rnacentral:lncRNA from 1 species
UGCCUGCCGAAUUCGGGUGUUUGAGGCGAUGGUUCGUCUGACUAGUGUACCAUGAGGGAGGCAGUAACAUAUCAGCAGGCUGGUUCCAGGUUACCCUACCUGUUAAUUUUUGACUAAAUCCCGGGGGCUAAAGAUGUGAUUGUAGAGAAUAAGUUUACGAUGCAGCGUUAUGCAUGCCUCAAAUUAGCCAGUUCCUGAUUCUCAAAAAGAAAUUAGCCAGUUCCUUGUCCAAAGAACUGUAUAGAAACAAGCUGUGAAUUGUAAUGUCAAACUCUGGCACCAACACAUGCACACAGGGAAGAAAUACAUCAUAUAUACUAUUUUGGGUGAGCUUCAGUUCAAAGCAUGGUACAAACCAGACAAAGCUGUUAUCCUUUUUCGAACAUUAUUUAGAGACGCGUAUGCUGACAAUCAAUAAGUUUCUAUUACAAAACAACCAAGGCCUCUGUCAAAAUGCAUUGAUUUCCAUGUCACUAGCCAUCAAGGCUUGUGGUUACCUAAUCUUUUGUACUAGCCAUCACUAUCUUAUUCAUGCCCGCCCAGCCGCCAACUGGCCCUCCCCGCGAGCCCGCUCUGGCUGCCGCCGACGCAUGCAUGUGCUGCUACUUAGAGCGCCGUCGUCUUGCCCCGAGCGUGGUCUUGUCACUCACCGUCUCGGCUCUCAGGACAGCGGGCUGCUGCGCUGUCCGUGCGCCCAGGCUCCGGCAGCCAUCCCCACUCAUCUCCUCCUCCGCUUCAUUCUCCCCACGUCAAGUGCCGGCCGGCGACCGGCGGCAGGGCACUUGUGCCGACGACCAUAUAUUAUGACAGCUCCCCCAUCCCACAAGGCGUGUACGGAAAAGAUGCAUUUACACCUGCAACCGAGCCAGCGAUAUGACCGUAGUGCCUUGGGCGCAGGAUGCCCAAGUACUGAAGCCUCGAGUGCAUCAAAUGAUAGGCCAGCCCCCUCGUCAACGUAUCGCACAAGAAGACGACGUCCUCAAAAGGAUGGAACCCGAGGAAGCUAACAUAAUCAGACUUAGUUUCCCGCUCCACCACCGCUGCGUGAUCGUCUUCUUCUUCGUCCGAGGCGCCGCCGUCGUUAACAUCUUCCAGGAUCCAACGCUCGUCGGUUUCUUCCCGACGGUAGCACACCCCACGCGCCAGCGCCUGCUCGAGGUCGACGCGAUGCCUCAGCGCCCACUCGCACCGCCCGCGCGACUCGUAGAGGACCCAAACCCGGAGAAAUCUGAACGCGUCUUCCACCAUCGCGCAGCGGACCUCGUUCUCCGACUUGCCCAGAUGAAGCUCCGGAUACGUGGCCGUCUCCAUGCCCGCCGGGGGGCGGAUCACCCGACACUUACGGUCCGCCAUAGAUAUCCUGCAGCAGAAGUCGUUUUAAUUUGGAUCUGCGCGUAGAGCGCUCCGCGCAGGUACACGCCGUAGCGCUUCACGUCCAGGUCUAGCCUGUCCUCCUCCAGCAUGCCGGCGAUGGUUCCCGCGGCGCCUCCUUGCCGGACGAACGCCCUCUCCUCCCACCGCUUCGUGUCCGACGAGUAGACGGGCAGGACGAACGGCGACGGCGGCCACUCCGAUUCCCUGGGCAUCCGGCCCAGCCUCUCCUCAAAUGGAACGAGAGGGAUCGAUACCACCUCGUAGUGAGGGGAGACACUGGGAUCGAACACCAGAAACUUGUCUCCUCCCAAGACGUAGAAAUCCUCCAUCCCGGCGCGCGAGGGCAGCGGUGGCAGCGGCGGCAACCGCGCGCACUGCCGCGUUGCAGGGUUGACCACCAUGUGGGGGAGUAGUAGGACGAGGCCGUUGCAGUGCUCCCUGACGGCGGUGUUCGAGCUAUAACUGAGGUCGCCGGAGACCGCGGUCCUGGUCGACGGACGGAAGAGCUCCGAGACCUGUAGGAACUAGGAAGCGGAAGUCUAUGAAGAUCUCGCCGAGCGUGUGCGGAAGGAGGUCCGCCCGCAGCAGGUGCCCGGCGUCGAUCAUGGCGUGCCACGCCUUGCAGAUGCAGCGUGACGCCGUGAGGCUGCGCGGCGGGAGACGGCGGAGGAUGUCCGCGAGCACGUCGUCGGGUAGCAGCUUUGUUACUGCUUCCAUAUGCUUGUCCCUUCCUUGACCUUGAUCACACGUCCCUCUUGUUGAUCGAUCUAGCUAGCACACACACGAGACACAACACCGCGACACGCGAGUAUAUGUAUAUACCUCCAAAGGCAGCCUAGUACAUAUAGAGUAGAUGAAUCGGUGACUGAUCCUAGUUUGAUUCGGAUGGGACGUCGACUCUCGGUUUUUUUAGGAGAGAAAACGUGGACUCUCAGUUAAUUCCAACCAUAACGUGAAAAAAAAUGUGCCCUCUAUUCCCUCUAAUCUCUAAUUUGAACAGACACUAUCCAUUAUUUGUGAUCAUAUCUAAAAAAAUGAUAGAAACAUAUGCGCAUUUGAUUGAAGCCGAGUGCACAACGUGGAUAGUAAACGAGUCUUUUUUAUCCGAAAAUGAUAAGUACCUGACAUCAAGUGUGAGCACAUGGCAAAUUGAAUGUUUUUAAUGGCAAUUUUAAUGACGCGGAGAUGGAAAGUUAGAUGUACACACGGCAAUUUUCCCUAACAGUUUCUGCACAUCUCUUUUACAUGUGGGCUCCUCCAAUUUUCUUAUUGCCUCUACCUUCUUAGGAUCAAUCUCUAUGCCAUGCUAAUGAAUUAUAAAACCUAAGAACUUACCAGUCGACACACUCAAAGCACAUUUGAGUGGAUUCAUUUUCACCCCAUACCAACGCAUUCUUUCAAAAACUAAUCACAAAUCGGCUAAAUGAUGACCAAACCCAUACGAUUUAACAACUACAUCAUCAAUAUAUAUUUCUAACACGAUGCAUAGAAGAUCAUGAAAAAUCAGAUUCAUAGCACGCUGGUAUGUAGCGCCGGCAUUCUUCAAUCCAAAAGUUAUGACAGUCCACUCAAAUAAACCAACAAAAUCAGGAUAUCGAAAAGAAGUCUUAAACAUAUCUUUUCUGGCCAUAAAUAUAUGAUUAUAACCAGCAUUACCAUCUAAAAAAUUGAUUACUUUAUGUCCAGAAGCAUCAUUAAUCAAUAUGUCGGCCAUAGGCAUAGGAUAUUCAUCUUUAGGGGUAGCCCUAUUCAAAUCCCUAAAAUCAAUACAUACUCUAAUCUUAUUAGUAUUUUUCUUUUCAACAUGAACAAUAUUAGAAAUCCAUUCCACAUAUCUACACGAACCCAGCUUUUAACAACCGAUCAAUUUCAUCUUUGAUGCGGUCAUAUAUACUAGGAUUGAAUCACCUAAGGGGUUGUUCAUGUGGUUUAAAACCAGAUUUAUAAGGCAAUUGUUCAACUAAGUCCCUGUUCAAAUCGGGCAUCUCAAUAUAAUUCCAAGUAAAGCAAUCGAUAAAUUCCUUAAGUAAUGCACAUACCUUCCCUCUUAGCCCCCAUAUUAGCAUUAAUAAAUGUAGGUCUUGGGACACUUCCAUCACCAAUAUCAACUUCCUCAAGUGGGUCAGCAGAUGAGAACCCCUGUCCAAGCUUCUCCAUGUCAUCAAAAUCUUCAAUAGCUUCAUGGAUAUCAUUCCUUCCCGAACGAUACUCCUCAGUACGCCUUUGCAUCCGCUUAAUACUAUCCUCUUUAUUCAUUUUUAGAGAGAUAAAUCAUUAGCCGAGCUACACUAGCCGGUUGUGCAUGUACAGAAACAAAACCAUCUCUGCCAAUACUAAUAUAAUCAUAAUCUGAUAAAUCCCUUCCCAUCAAGCAUCGCAUCUCACCGUGUUGCCAGUCAACCGGUUGUUGGAAAUAUGCCCUAGAGGCAAUAAUAAAGUGGUUAUUACUAUAUUUCCUUAAUCAUGAUAAAAGUUUAUUAUUCAUGCUAUAAUUGUAUUGAUCAGAAACUUCAAUACAUGUGUGCAUACAUAAACAAAUACCAAGUCCCUAGUGAGCCUCUAUUAUACUAGCUCGUUGAUUAAAAGAUGGUUAAGGUUUUCUGACCAUAGAUAUGAGUUGUCAUUUGAUAACGAGACCAUAUCAUUAGGAGAAUUAUUUGAUGGACAAGACCCAUUCGUUAGCGGAGCAUAUGAUCGUUCGGUUUAUUGCUACUACUUUCUUAAUGUCAAAUACAUGUUCCUUCGACCAUGAGAUCAUGCAACCCCCGGAUUCCGAAGGAAUGCCUUGUGUGUAUCAAACGUCACUUCAUGACUGGGUGAUCAUAAAGGUGCUCUACAGGUAUCUCCGAAGAUGUCUGUUGAGUUGGCAUGGAUCGAGAUUAGGAUUUGUCAUUCUAUAUGACGGAAAGGUAUCUCUGGGCCCUCUCGGUAAUCAACAUCACAAGAAGCUUGCAAGCAAAGUGACUAAGGAGUUAGGUACAAGAUGAUGUAUUACAGAACGAGUAAAGAGACUUGUCGGUAAUGAGAUUGAACUUGGUAUGGAGAUACCGACGAUUGAAUCUCGGGCAAGUAACAUACCGACGAACAAAGGGAACUACAUAUGUUGCCAUAAAGGUUCGACCGAUAAAGAUCUUCAUAGAAUAUGUAGGAACCAAUAUGGGUAUCCAGGUCUCGCUAUUGGUUAUUGUACGGAGAAGCGUCUGAUACGUCUCCGGCAUAUCUAUAAUUUACGAAGUAUUCACGAAGUAUUCAUGUUGUUAUAUUAUCAUUCUUGGAUGUUUUACAAUCAUUUUAUAGCAACUUCAUAUUAUUUUUUGGGACUAACCUAUUGACAUAGUGCCCAGUGUCAGUUGCUGUUUUUUGCUUAUUUUUUACAUCGCAGAAAAUCAAUACCAAACGGAGUCCAAACGCAGCGGAACUUUUCGGAGAUUUUUUAUGGACCAGAAGGAAGAACUUGGGCCAAAGAAGUACCAGAGGAGUGCCCCGAGGAGGGCACAACCCACCUGGGCGCGCACUGGUAGGUUGUGCCCACCUCGGUAGCCUCCCACACCGCCUCUUCGCACUAUAAAUUUCCAAAUAUUACAAAACCCCCGGCGGUAACCCUAGAUCAGAAGUUUCACCGCCGCAAGCCUCUGUAGCCAUGAUAAACCAAUCUAGACCCUAUUCCGGCACUCCGUCGGAGGGGGAAAUUAUCACCGGUGACCAUCUUCAUCAUCCUGGCGGCCACCAUGAUGAGGAGGGAGUAGUCCACCCUCGGGGCUGAGGGUUUGUACCAGUAGCUAUGUGUUUAAUCUCUCCCUCUCUCGUGUUCUUGAGAUGUCACGAUCUUGAUGUAUCGUGGGCUUUGUUAAUAUAGUCGGAUCAUAUGAUGUUUACCCCUAUCUAUCUUGUUGUGAAUUGAGUUUUCCAUUUGAGAUUUCAUUUUACCGGAUUGAAUAUUUUUAUGGAUUUGGAAGCUGAUGUAUGUCUUGCUAUCAAUACCCGUGGUGACAAUGGGGUAUCAUAUUGAUUCACUUGAUAUGUGUUUUGGCACUCAACUUGCGGGUUCCCGAGGUGACAUUGGGGUAAUCUAUGGAUAGGGGUUGAUGCAUGUUCUCGUCUUUGUUUCUCUGAUAGAAAUCUUGGGGCACUCAUUGGGGUAAGCACACCCGUCUUCUCUUCUCGAGAGAACGAAGUCAACCUGGCUAGAGUGUUGACCACUACUAAAACUCACUAGAUGGGAUUCUCUUUCUUUAAAGAGGGUGUUAGCUACAAUCAUAUCGUAGGCUAGAGCGAAGCUUAAGGCAUCUUCUCUAUCUUGAUUCCCGAUGCCAUAGCCAAAAACCCCAUGCACCCCUUCAAAACCUGUAUUAGAUGUACCCAUGUGGCCAUCGAGGUCUCCUUCUAUGAAGAGCUUCUCGCCAAUAGGUAUAUUACUAACCAUGUUCUCGAGGCCUUCCCGGAACUCCCUCUUGGCGCUCUCAUUGUGGCCUACAGGGCUUAUGCCCUGAUAAUAUUGAGAACUAAGCCCCAAUUACCAGCUUGACCAUGAUAAUCCAGUCCCCUUGCCUCUUGAUGUCUACCACUCCAUACUUGAGGCUCUUGUUGAUCAAGAUGCCUACUCCAUUUCUGUUUGUAGUUGUCCGCGUGUAACACAGCUGAAGCCAGUUUCCUCCACCUCCGCCUUCUGUUCCCUCCAUUUGGUUUCUUGGAUGCAUAAGAUAUCAAUACCUCUCCUCACCGAUGUAUCAACUAGCUCCCGAAACUUACCUAUUAGGGACCCUACGUUCUAGUUACCUAAGCUAAGCAGAUCCUACUAGGCUCGGCAAGUUUCCUUACCCUUUGCACUCGUUGAGCCAAAUGCGAAGACCUUGCUCAUUUUCACCACACCCAGGCAUCGAUGUAGCGCGCCACUAAGGAUGCGAUGGCCCAAUCCUUGCUCACUUAUCACCAUAUCCAGAUCAAGAUACGGCACGCCACCAAGGGGGUGACGCCCCGGCCCUUGCACACUUAACACCACACCUUGGUUCCGGUAUGGCGCGUGAAAAAGAGGGUUACGUUCCAACGAUGUUCUCCUGAGUUUCAUCUCUAUAAGAGUGGCUGAGUUUUGACGUUGGCUCGCCAAGCCUAUGACAGCCCUCCUCCUUUACCCGGGCUGGGGACCGGCUAUGUUGAGACCACAUAGGCGAAGUUGAUGUUGUCAUUUCUAACCAUUCAACAAAGACCGAUAUGCGCAUGAGGCGAAUUUCUGGCACUGACAGUGAUAGUUCUAUUCGAUGGUCGGCUAUGAUAAUUUAUACAUAUUAAUAUAAAAGGAACAUUUAUGUGUUAUGAUCGCUCCUUCUUCUUUCUUCUGGUUACCCAGUUGAAGGGACAUUUAUGUGCUAACAUUAUACCACGAUGACGCAAGGAAACAAUUCUAUCGCUAGCAUUUUUGGAUAAUAGGUGUGUGCUCCUUUUUUCAGUUCGGUUUACUGCUUCUAGAAUCGAUACUGCUUUUUGGCUACUUCUCUUUGUUCCAUCCCGGGAAUCAAGCAGUUCUUCGAUGGGGUAAGAGCCCCACAAUACUUCAUAAGGUAAACAAUUUUUUUAUGUAGCCAUGUUUUUCUUAAUUUCUAGAGAAUAUUGGGCGAUUCUGACGAAUUGAGAAACAGGUGUGCGACCUGCCUUUUGCUUUCUUCAGUGACCCAGAGUUGAUGCCCAUCUUGACUACUGCUCUCAUUGCUGUCUGCUACGGCUGUGAUCAGAAUAGAAGUGCGGUACUUCAAGAAAUAAGCUCAGAUAUGAUCGGCACUUUGCUUAGGUCCUGCAGAGUAUCGGUACUGGCCACUUCAGAUUCCGUUGCCACGGAUGGUUCUGGAGCCAAUAAUUCCGGUGACAGCAUGUAACACCCACGAUGCGGCUAUAUCUCCCACGUGUCGGAGCACGACUUAGAGGCAUGACCGCAUAGUAGGCAUGUCGCAAGAGGGGUAAUCUUUACACAUCCCAUGUACUGAAUAUGAAAGGGAUAAAGAGUUGGCUUACAACCGCCACUUCACACAAUACAUAAAUAUAGCAUUACAUCAUCCAGAAUACAAUCAAGGUCCGACUACGGAACCAAAUAAAUAAAGACAACCCCAAAUGCAUAGAUCCCCGAUCGUCCCGACUGGGCUCCACUACUGAUCAACUAGAAACGAAACAACACAACAAACACAAUCUUCAUCGAGCUCCCACUUGAGCUCAGUUGCGUCAUCUGCAAUGGUAUCAUCGUCACCUGCAACUGUUUGGAAGUAUCUGUGAGUCACGAGGACUCAGCAAUCUCACACCCGCGAAAUCAAGACUAUUUAAACUUAUGGGUAGGAAAAGGUAGUCAGGUGGAGCUGCAGCAAGCACUAGCAUAUAUGGUGGCUAACUUACGCAACUGAGAGCGAGAAGAGAAGCAAAGCAUAUGCGAGAAGCUAUAAGAUCAAGAAGUGAUCCUGAAACUACUUACAUUCAAGCAUAACACAAGAACCAUGUUCACUUCCCGGACUCCGCCGAAAAGAGACCAUCAUGGCUACACACGCGGUUGAUGCAUUUUAAUUAAGUUAAGUGUUAGGUUUUCUACAACCGGAUAUUAACAAAUUCUCAUCUACCCAUAACCGCGGGCACGGCUUCCGAAAGUUCAAACCAUGCAGGGGUGUCCCAACUUAGCCCAUCACAAGCUCUCACGGUCAACUAAGGAUAUUCCUUCUCCCAGGAAGACCCGAUCAGACUCGAAAUCCCGGUUACAAGACAUUUCAACAAUGGUAAAACAAGACCAGCAAAGCCGCCCGAAUGUGCCGACAAAUCCCGAUAGGAGCUGCACAUAUCUCGUUCUCGGGGCACAUCGGAUGAGCAAUCCGUACAACUAAAACCAACCCUCAAGUUUCCCCGAGGUGGCGCUGUAAGGGGCUCUAGUUUGGACCAACACUCAGAGGAGCACUGGCCCCGGGGGUUAAAAUAAAGAUGACCCUCGGGCUCCAGAAACCCAAGGGAAAAAGGCUAGGUUGUUAGGCAAAUGUAAAACCAAGGUUGGGCCUUGCUAGAGGAGUUUUAUUCAAGGCGAACUGUCAAGGGGUUCCCAUUACAACCCAACCACGUUAGGAACACAAAAUAAAGGAACAUAACACCGGUAUGACAGAAACUAGGGCGGCAAGAGUGGAACAAAACACCAGGCAUAAGGCCAAGCCUUCCAUCCUUUACCAAGUAUAUAGGUGCAUUAAUUAAAUAAGAGAUAUUGUGAUAUCCCAACAUAUCCAUGUUCCAACAUGGAACAAACUUCAUCUUCACCUGCAACUAGCAACGCUAUAAAAGGGGAGGGGCUGAGCAAAGUGGUAACAUAGCCAAACAACGGUUUGCUAUGAAAAGGUGGGUUAGAGGCUUGACAUGGCAAUAUGAGAGGCAUGAUAAAGCAAGUGAUAGGUAUCGCGGCAUAGCAAUAGAGCGAGAAACUAAGCAAGCAAAGAUAGAAGUGAUUUUGAGGGUAUGAUCAUCUUGCCUGAGAUCACGCAAGGAAGAAGAACGAGUCCAUGAAGAAGACAAACAGACGUAGUCGAACGGAUCCUCACAAACGCGACGUUAUCGGAACUAACCCGAAGAAGCAACACCGGAAAGAAGCAAACAACAUAGUAAACAACCAUCACAUAAGCAUGGCAUGAUGCACAAUCAAGUAUGAUGCAUGUCCGGUUUAAUGAGGCAUGGCAUGGCAAAGUGCACAAACAAUACUACGAAUUAAGUGGAGCACAAUAUGCAACGAGUUGCAUAUUGACAGAACACCACAUGACUUAUUUAGUUCUCUCUCGUUUAGGUACCCAACAAUAUUAAAAGUUGUUAAACAUGGUAAGAUAUGAAGCAUAAUAAAACUAACUAACUAGGCAAGUUUAAAUGAGGCCGGAAACAACAAGCAACAAGUCCGGAAAAAUUCUCAUGAGCAUAUAUUAGAUUUGGUACUGUUCUGGCCUAAAGCAUAUUUUAGAGUUGUUAAACAUGGAAAGUAAAGCCACCAUGUUAAACUAGGUAUUUUUCUACCCCAUUUACAUAUAAAGUUUGUUAAAUUUGGACCUACGGUUAAUUAGUUAUGAAUCAAAUCAUUUUAGCAUGGCAAUUGGCAAAAUAAAGCAAAUAACAAGUUUAAACAUUUUUAACAUGCAUGAAAGUUGCAUAUUAUGAAACUAGGCAAAAUUCUAAGCAAGUUACAUAUAUAAAACAUUUUAAUAUGAUGCAUGGUUGAUGAGUUUUUAUAUGCAUGAAGUGCAAGGGUUUUUCUGCAAAUCUGUAAAUCCCUGGUAAUUAGCAAAUUCGCAGAACAACAAAAAACAUUCACUGGGCUGAAACUUGCUGGCCCAACAGGAACAGGGGAUCUGGAGGGGUCUGCUCACAUCGGGCCUAGCAGGCCGAAACUAAAGCUGGGCCAGAGAGGAGGCGCACUGGCCCGACGGGGAAACAUCACGGGCCGACCGGAUCUGACCGAUGCGGUCAACGCGGUUGCUGCAGCGCUCAUCGUCUCGUUCCUGAAGCGGGGAAUGAGCGAUGCAGGGGAGCUGGCGCGGUCAACGCCGAAGAAACAGGAGCCUUGGCGCGGCCGCGACGCAGAGGACGCAGCGGCGGCCUAGCGUUUCUUAGGACUCCGGCGAAAAACGGCGCGACGGGGAGGUCGAAGGCACUGGUGAGCUCGGGGAGGAUCCAGGCGCGAAAGGUCUUCGGGUCCCAUUUCCUGCCGGAUCGAAGCGGAGGCAGCGGCAUGGCGGACAUGGCGCCAACGCGGGCGAAGGUGAGGAGCUCCCAAGCGACGAAGAGGAUGCAGGGUGCCAUGAGGACGGGCGCGGGGACCUUGGGACCUGGCGUCCAUGGCAGAGGCAGCGGCGCUGGAGGGUCCUGGUGGCCGGAUCCGCGACGCGGCGGGGCAGACGGGGUCCUGGAGGCGUUCAGGCAUCCAUGGCAACCUGUGAGACACAGAGAGAAAGAGAGAGAUGUGAGAGGAGGGAGCAGCAGGGAGAGAUGGAGGGAAGGAGAGCAGCGGCAGGGCUCAUCUGCUCGAGCAAGGUGGUGCGCAAGGGGCUCGGUUGUUGGAGAAUCGAAGUGAAGCAGAGGGGGCCGGUGGUUGGUGGGGAGAGAUCGAGAGGAAUUUUGGAUCUAGGACACUCACAUUGAUUGGAUGGGGAUGGAUCCCGAGGUGGGAGAGGUAGUUGGCCCGAUGGGGAUAACAAGGAAGGAGGCUGGUUGGGUGGCUCGAUCGAGAGGAUCAGGCAAGAACCAGGAAGAGUGGGUGGCAGCGGCGGGGAGGAUUUGAUGGAUGGAUGGGACAGGGCUAGGGUUAGACUAUAUAUAUAUCCGAUGAAAUUAGGUUAGGGGCUAACUCGUCCCUCCGAUCAGAAUCGGGAGGUCGAGGAAAAUAGACUAGGAAGUCCAAAUAAGAAAAUAAUGAUGUUUUGUAGAUGUUUGGGGAUGAUCCCGAUUCAACGGUGACGACUGUCCGGGUCGGGUUUGGGUAAGUUUCGGACACAGGCGAGGGGUCGAUGCACUGUGCAAAGAGGGGUUUUCGGACCGUGCGAUUGCAUCGGACGGCUCCGGACGCGAAGAGGGGUAGGCAUGGGCCUAGGUGGACUGUGGAGAGCGGGUUGGCCUGAGAGAAGAGGGGAGAGAUGCAGCCCGGCACAGUUUUCGGAGACCGAAAACGUCCGACGAAAAGACCGGCUAUACUGCCACUAUAGUUAUCCGUUGGGGCAUCAAACAAGACUCCAAAUGCGAUGAAACUUGACAGGCGGUCUAUCUACACUAUAAUAAAACCACACGCCAAAUUUCAUCCCAUUCCGAGAACAUUUUUCGGCCACUUAUAAAAUACUAUUUCGAAGGUGUCGCAAGCGCGUCCAAGUGUGUCUGGGCUCAGAACGGACAACGGAGAGAACGAGGAGACCGGGACGGAUGCAAGUUUUGAAAACAUGAUCAUGUAAUGCACAUAAUGACAUGACAAGAUGCAACACGCAAGCGCAUGACAUGGCAAAGACAACAAAUAACUGGAAGACACCCGGCACAUCGGAAUCGGAACGUCACACAACGCUCAUAUCUUGCCGGACAUCAGAAACUCACUAUCUGAAAUGUCUAUACGGUCAAGCCGCAAAGGCUUGCGGCCAGUGUUAGGAAAAGGCGUUUCAGAGGAAGUUAAACGGAAACAAGAAUCAAAAGGAUGGUAGAGGAGUACGAGCUGGUGAUGAUGGAGGGCCCUUGAAGCAAAGGGCUGGCGAAGCUUCAUCUGCUUUUAUGUUGCAUAGGAAAAUCCCGGCUUUCUUCUUUGACAAAGCAGAAGAGUUCUUCUGUGGCGGUGCAUAGCGAAAACGCUGAAUAGCAAAGCUGACCAGAUCUUUACCACAGGCUACAGAAUUCGGGUUUUUGCACAAGCUGACCAAACCUUUAGAAGAAGCUACCGAAUUUGGGUUUUUUGCACAAGCUGACUGGACCUUCACAAGAAGCUGCCUGCCGAAUUCGGGUUUUUGAGGCGAUGGUGCGUCUGACUAGUGUACCGUGAGGGAGGCAGUGACAUAUCAGCAGGCUGGUUCCAGGUUACCCUACCUGUUAUUUUUUGACUAAAUCCCGGGGCUAAAGAUGUGAUUGUAGAGAAUAAGUUUGCGAUGUGGCAUUGUGCAUUCCUCAAAUUAGCCUCUGUGUUCCUUGUCCAAAAGAACUGUAUAGAAACAAGCUGUGAACUGUAAUGUCAAACUCUGGCACCAACACAUGCACACAGGGAAGAAAUACAUC